AGCAAUGUGAGGAAAGUGGAAUGAACUUGGACUUUGAAGGCAGACUCACUUAAUAUCAAAUUCUGAUUCCGCUGUUUGCAAGUGUGAUCUUUGAGUUUGCUUCCUCAUCUGCGAGCUUCAACUUCCUCCUCUGUAAAUCAAGAUCAAAGACAAACAGAGCAACCUGCUUACCCAGUGCCCAUCCCCUUGGCAGAACACUCCUCUGAAGGAUGACAGUUUGGCUGUGCCAAGGCAGAGCUGCCCACACCAAAUGAGCCUCCAUGGCAACCCUCUGAUAAGGAACUCACUGGCCUACCUUUCCUUGACAGCUGUGGCCUGCCUGCCUUGAAGCAUGACUCCACAGUGCCCCUACCCAAGGCCAUGGAGGAUGCUGCUGACAAGGAAGCUGUUUUCUAUUUAGUCCAGGUUUCUGCUUGUAGAGGAGUCAGAGAAAGUUUGUCUGAAUGACACUUGCAGAAAUAACACUGGCAGCAGUCACAAUACUUUAAAAAUUAAAGUGUCAGCUGAGGUGGCUUUUGGUGGCCAGAUGAAAGCUGUUAACCCCAGCUUUUACAAGUGUUGGGCUUUUGAGUAACAAGGGAGUGUCUUUCUGGAAAAGUCUGAAACCUUUUACCAUGGUAGCAGCAAAGGCAUCUGUGCCUAGAUGUUUUCCAAGCUCACUGCUACUUGUUGCAGUCUAGCAGUGUUGUGUCUUCUGAAAUGCCUACCUUUUCUUGAUCGAUGCAAAAGAAGUACCAAUUUAUUAGGCUCCUAAUACGUGCCAGAUGCUCCAUAUUUGUUACUUUUGAUCUUCACAGCCACUCAGCAAGUUACUGCUUCUCCUCACUCCCAAUUAUACAGAUGAGGAAACUGAAGCAGAGUAGUUUGCCCAAGAUUACAGAAGGAGGGGCCAGAAUUGGGAUUCUUACUCAGUUCUAAUACACGGUAUGCCAUAUUUCCUGUCUACUAGUAACAAAGCUUCUAAGAAAUCUUAGUUUUCACUUGUCAAAAUGGAAUUCUUAAGAAAGGUACAUAGGAGUACUAAGUACUCUAUAGUUUAAUGUUAAUAUUGGUACAAAUAUUUAACUACUUUCUCAUGGACUGGCAUAACACACCUCAGAGGGUAGACCAGGUCUAGAUGAGUAUGUGAAACCCAAAUAUCUGAGACAGGUCUCAAUUAACGUAUAAAGUUUAUUUUGCCAAAGUUAAGGAUGCACACCCAUGACACAGCCUCAGGUGGCCCUGAUGACAUGUGCCCAAGGUGGCAGGGGCACAGCGUGGUUUUAUACAUUUUAGGGAGACAUGAGCAUCAAUCAGUAUAUAAGAUAUACAUUGGUUCAGUCCAGAGAGGCGGGACAACUUCAGCAGGUAGGGGGCUUCUAGGUCAUAUGUAGGUGAGAGAUAAAUGAUUGCAUUCCUUUGAGUUUCUGAGUAGUCUUUCCCAAUGAGGCAAUGAGAUACGCAUUUAUCUCAGUGAGCAAGGGGUGACCUUGAAUGGAAUGCGAGGCAGGUUUGCCCUAAACAGUUCUUAGCUUGACUUUUCCCUUUAGCUUAGUGAUUUUGGGACCCCAAGAUUUGUUUUCCUUUCACAGGUAAGUGGUCACAAGAAAAACAGAAACAGGAUUAAGAAAGGGCCCUAACCCCUCCUAUCACAGGCUCUAUCAACACAUUAGAUAGGAGUAUACUAGAUGGCUACAUAGACAUAUUCGUGCCUGUGAUAAUUGCAAAUAAAAUGAUGCUCACCAUU